AGUGAACGCUGGCGGCGUGCUUAACACAUGCAAGUCGAACGAGAACGGAUUAUAGCUUGCUAUAAUUGUCAGCUAAGUGGCGCACGGGUGAGUAAUGUAUAGGUAAUAUGCCUCUUACUAAGGGAUAACAAAUGGAAACGUUUGCUAAUACCUUAUACUCCUUAUUAACAUAAGUUAAUAAGGGAAAGAUUUAUUGGUAAGAGAUUAGCCUGUAUUGUAUCAGUUAGUUGGUGGGGUAAUGGCUUACCAAGACUAUGACACAUAACUGGUUUGAGGGGAUGAUCAGUCACACUGGAACUGAGACACGGUCCAGACUCCUACGGGAGGCAGCAGUGGGGAAUAUUGCACGAUGGACGAAAGUCUGAUGCAGCAACGCCGCGUGGAGGAUGACACAUUUCGGUGCGUAAACUCCUUUUAUAUGAGAAGAUAAUGACGGUAUUAUAUGAAUAAGCACCGGCUAACUCCGUGCCAGCCGCCGCCGUAA
rnacentral:rRNA from 1 species